AUUAGAGAAUAUCAUUUUGCUGGCUACACGUAGUCCGAGAUUAUUCUUAUUCUUUUCUACCGACAUCACGUGUCUAUAAGCUGUAGACAACUGCAUCGGAUACUCAGAUCACUAGGUCUUCGUCGUCAGCAUGCGGUAACGGAUGAAGUAGUUCAAGCUAUACAGGAGCAAUGUGUUGACUCUUCAGCGCGAACUGGACCCGGACGGUGUUCGUAGCAGACAGAUGCACCGAAG